rnacentral:lncRNA from 1 species
UGGUAUUAUCCCCACUUUACAGAGAAAGAUAUUGAGGUCAGAGGGAUGGAGUAUUUACCCAUAAUUACACAACUGGUAAAGGGAGCUAGGAUUUUGAGAGUUUUGACCAUUGUAUGAACAUGCUGGCAAAUGCUGAGAUGAAAUUAGCAUUUUUAUAGAUGACUGAAAUACUUCAUACCUCCUUGGAUUUCCACUGAAUUCCUUUCCGGAACAAUUUUUAGACAUAUGCAGAGCAAUGGUAGAAUUACAGUAAGAGGUAAAGUUGGUGUUUGUGUUUUAGUCUUUAGACCAACAAAAGACUUUUUGUGUUUUUUUCCUAAGUGACUUGGCAGACUUUUUGGACCUAAUCAAUGAAAGGGCAUAUUUGGAGGGAACUUAGAAUCCCCCACCUUGUACUUACAACCAUAUGUAGUAUGAUUCAGAGGCAACAAGCAGUGGCAGGCCUCAGAUGCUGAAAUAAUCAUGGAAACUGGCAACAAUCCCCCCCCCCAUUUCUAUCAUGUUCAGGGAUGAUCAGGGGCAUGUUACUUGUCCUCUCUGUAUCUCAGUUUUCCUUUCCAUACAAUAAGAAUAGGAAUGGUACACCACAGGACUGGAUGCAGAUUAAAUGAAUGUAUUUCUCUGUAAAGUGCUUAUAACAGGCUUGGGACAUAGUGUUAUAAAAGUGUCAUUUCUUUUAUUUCAAAUAGAAUCAGCUGCUAAAUAGAAUUAUUUCAUCCAUCCUUCCUUUUUAUUAACAAUCACUUUAGGUUUAAAAGCUUAAUAUGUAAGGCAACAUAGCAUAGUGGCUUGAGUGUGACUUAGAGAGCUUCCAAAGCACUGAGUUUUGACAUCUAUUAAGUGGAAGUAAUAAAUGGCAUUUGACUUAUAGAAUUAAUUGUUCAAAUGAGGGCUAAAUAAAUUAAUAUGUUCAAAGGACUUAGAACAAGUUCUGGCGCACACACAAAGUCUAGUAAAUAUUAAC